rnacentral:misc_RNA from 1 species
CCUGAUUCUAUUAGUUACCGUUUCGUGGAGCGAGGAGAAGCUACACAAACAGAACGGGGUGAGUCUUCCAAGACUGCCACUGCAGAGGAUCAGAAUACUCUGGCUCGCAUUGAGUUUAUACUAGUGCAGAUAGAGCAGAGAAUGUUGCGAGUAGAGCAGGAUAUUUCUCAGAUGGAUGCUCUCUUUCAGCAUAUAGUCUCGUUGCUACCUUCCC